UACAGAGGGGGCAAGCGUUGUUCGGAAUUACUGGGCGUAAAGGGCGCGUAGGCGGCCUGCUAAGUCGAACGUGAAAUCCCCGGGCUCAACCCGGGAACUGCGUCCGAUACUGGUUGGCUUGAAUCCGGGAGAGGGAUGCGGAAUUCGAGGUGUAGCGGUGAAAUGCGUAGAUAUCUGGAGGAACACCGGUGGCGAAGGCGGCAUCCUGGACCGGCAUUGACGCUGAGGCGCGAAAGCCAGGGGAGCAAACGGG
rnacentral:rRNA from 1 species